rnacentral:misc_RNA from 1 species
GAUGAAGAACGCAGCGAAAUGCGAUAAGUAAUGUGAAUUGCAGAAUUCAGUGAAUCAUCAAAUCUUUGAACGCACAUUGCGCCCGCCAGUAUUCUGGCGGGCAUGCCUGUUCGAGCGUCAUUACAACCCUCAGGCCCCCGGGCCUGGCGUUGGGGAUCGGCGAGGCGCCCCCCGCGGGCACGCGCCGUCCCCCAAAUACAGUGGCGGUCCCGCCGCAGCUUCCAUUGCGUAGUAGCUAACACCUCGCAACUGGAGAGCGGCGCGGCCAUGCCGUAAAACACCCAACUUCUGAAUGUUGACCUCGAAUCAGGUAGGAAUACCCGCUGAACUUAAGCAUAUCAAUAAGCGGAGGA